GCAGAAAGGAGCAGCCGGAAGCAGGGCGAGGGGGCGGGGCAGAGUGCUGCGCGUGCGCAUGAGGUCGGUCCCCGCCCUUCGGGCUUUCGUAGGCCGGCCGGCUCGCUGCUCGAAUAAAUCUAAUAAGAAAUAUAUACGAUCUAUAAGAGAAAAAUAAUGAAGCUCACCUGAAGGGCAUAAAAGAAGACUUCAACAAACAGGGCAACUGGCUACAUUUCUGAAUGAGAAGACUUGGCAUUAUAAAGAUGUCUGUUCUCUAAAAUGGAUCCCCAAAUCCACAAAUUCAAUGCCUUUCCAAUGAAAUUAUCAACAGCAUUAUUUUAGUGAAAUGGGAAGAGUAGAUUCUAAGAUUUAUAUGAAAGAUAAAAGCCUUAUGGUAAAGAAAAUUUUGUAGGAAAAUAAAAGGAAGGGAUCCCUUCCCACCAGAUAUCAAAAAACUGAAAAGUGCCAACUGAAAGAAUGUGGUAUCUACAGGAACGGACAGAGAGACAUCCAGCUCAUAGACAGAGCUGAGGCCAAGGCAGGCAGAGUACCAAGAGCCACUUUUACAUUUAGACAGUCUGUUGCUGACACAGGCAGCAAAAUGAAAAGGAAGAGAGAGAGAGAAA